GUGAAUCAUCAAAUUUUUGAACGCAAAUUGCACUUCCUGGUAUUCCGGGGAGUAUGCCUGUUUGAUGGUCGUUAGAACAAAAAUCGAAGCGUCGCUCUUUUUGUUAAGUGUGAUCGCGUCUGAAUUUAGCCGUCUUUCAAAUGUUAUUUCAUGUCAAAGUGGCUUAAAAUUCAUCCAUCCGGUACGAUUAAAUCGUAUUUAAGAUCAACUUUGAUUAAUAACUCUCGAUGAACGUACCAUCUCAUGUAGUACGUUUGACUUGACGUCGUCAUGAUCAUUCGUAUACGAUACUCAAACUUUU
rnacentral:misc_RNA from 1 species